UUUAUUUCCUCAUGUGCAAUAGCGUUUCAUCCAAAUUAUUUUUAUACACCUGGAUAAGUUAUGUUUUUAUCAGGACACUGUUCUAGUAAAAAGGAUAAAGUCGACAUACGCAUCUGUCACGGUAUACCCGACGAACGGAAAGCUUCUUAAAGGGCAUAUUUUCUUGGCGCACGACUCAAGCCUAAACAGAAACUUUGAUGAUAAUGGCACGUAACGGUAGGAAUGAAGUGCCUGGAAAGGAUGACUGUACUGUUUAAAGCUAUGGUCUGCAUUGACUUUACGCACGCAUUGAAUGUACGCUGUUAAACCUAUGUUUAACCUAACCCUAACCUUAGUCGUAAUCCAAUAGGAGCGAUUUAUUAAUGUUGGUGCUGAUGCUUAUGUUUGAAGUACUGUAGCCACUCAAAACGUGGCUUAUAGUAUAUUAGUAAGUAGAUCAUCUCUGCUUAAUUGUUUUUGUUUUGUUGGGGUUAAAGUCACAACGACACAGAUGUGAGGGGGUCAGCAACCGUAACCAUUCUUCCACGCAUAUUGGAAGACCAUUACAAACUUUUAGUAACAUUGACCUAACGGACUUUAUAUAAACAGAGGAUAAAAUUACUUAAAUAGAAAAGGGCGCAUUUGGAAAUAAAAAAAAGAACGGUACACCAAAAAUUGAAGUUUAUUUUUUUUUCCGGAUCAUAUGAAUAUUCAAAAAAAAUAUUUCUACAAAAAUAGACUGUAGAAAGCGGAACAAAAAAAAAAACAAACAAA